ensembl:lncRNA
CCGCCCGCCCUUUGCCCCCCCCACCCCCACCGCGGGGUCCGAACGCAGCGACCCGCGAGGGGGGCGUGGCCUUUUCGGGGGGGCGUGGCCGGCGGGGAAAGGGGGCGUGGCCAGGUGAGAAAAGGGGCGGAGCCGCGCGGCUCUUAAAGGGACCGCAGCACCGCGCCGCCCCCCCGCGGGGCCGCGAUGAGUUACCGGGUGUGCGCGUGGGGGCGGCGGCACGCGUGGGACGUCACGAGGAUGGUGACGGAGGCGGCGAAGAUUUUGGGGGACAGCGACGCCCUGAACAUAACACCUGAACGGCUCCUGGCUGAUGGGUUCGGCCCGCGCCCCAAAUUCGGCUGUUUGGUGGCGGAGGCGGCGGGAGAGGAGGGUAAUGGGGGGGGGCGAUGGGAGGGGGGCAGUGGGGGGUCCUGGGGGGG